rnacentral:rRNA from 1 species
GAUGAACGCUGGCGGCGUGCUUAAUACAUGCAAGUCGAGCGAAGCGGGGACGGGGGAGUAACACGUGGAUAACCUCCUAUAAGACUGGGAUAACUCCGGGAAACCGGAGCUAUAUCGGACACUUCUAGGUGGAUCUGCGCGGCAUUAGCUAGUUGGUAAGGUAACGGCUUACCACGGCAACGAUCCGUAGCCGGCCUGAGAGGAUGAUCGGCCACACUGGAACUGAGACACGGCCCAGACUCCUACGGGAGGCAGCAGUAGGGAAUUGUCCGCAAUGGGCGAAAGCCUGACGGAGCAACGCCGCGUGUGUGAAGAAGGUCUUCGGAUCGUAAAACUCUGUUAUUAGGGAAGCGGUACCUAAACAGAAAGCCACGGCUAACUACGUGCCAGCAGCCGCGGUAAUUC